AUAUUGCAUGAAGCUUUCGUGGUCUGGGAGAGCAUAAGAAGACUGAAGUGUUUCGCAUGCACCCACUUGAUUAAACACCCCUGUGGCACACUUUUGUUGAGUGAAAAGACAUGUGGGUAUGAAUCCUGUAUUCCACCAUUUACUGGAGCUGUGGUAUUGGACCAUGGCUAUCAUUUACAGCUGAGGGCUUACGUAACCUUUCUAGGCAUCAGUUUUCUCAACCACAACGUGAGGAUAAUCGUAGCCCAAGGGAGGAUCGGAAUGACUGAAUGACGUGUGAGUGGUAAUGAUGAGGCAGAGUGCUGGACACAUCGUGGGCCUUUACCGCACAGGGCCUGUUAUCCCCACAGUGGAAUUUUCUCUCAACACCACCACCACCAACAACAACACGUCUGGUGAUGUACAUGCUGUAGUGUUUCAUGUAGAAGGAAAUAAUGUUGCCAAGAAUUAAAAAGUAGAGCCGAGUAAAGGUGUUCCCGGGAAACUCUGAGAAAAGAAGAAAUUUUGAUUUGUUGUCUUUAGUCAUGUGGAGCUGACAUUUUCCAAAAUCACCUGUGUCCCACAUUUUGGAUGUGCCUUGCCUGAGCUUACUGCACAGCCUCAUGCAUAACCACUUAGGAUCCACAUGUACGCGGGCCAGCUUUAUCUAGUUAAACGUGUGGUUUUCAUUGUAGGACCCUGAGUCAAAUUUGAUCCAACAGUCAGAACAAAGUGAUCUUGGAAUCAUUUCCAAAACUUUCCAGUUAUCUUCCCAUCCAAUACUUGGUGACUGGUCCAUUCAAGCUCAAGUAAAUUGUAUGAUGGUGGAGCAGAUAAGACCUGCUGUAAGGGAUGCAAGACACAGAACCUCCUAGCCCAGGGCAAGCCCCACCGCCAGCUGGGAGUCCUGCUACUGGACCCACUACAGCCACCCAUCCCCUGGGGAUGACCUUACACCACUGUUACUUGCUUCUCAUAGAGUUUGGUUAGGACUGUGGUCCUUGUAAAUAGCCAUUCACUUGGAGAGUGAAUAGGAGUUCUGAAAGAUGAUGCUUUAAGCAGGGCUUCCCAACAAACCUGAUCUUGAUGACUCGUGGCCUUCAUCAGAUGAAGACUCAGAUUUUGAGUCCAAGGUAUGAUGUCAGCAUUGAAAUUAGGAAAAAAGAAGAUACAGAAUCUCCUUGGGAUUCUGAGGUACUGUCUAGUAUCAUCAUCAUCAUCAUCAUCAUCAUUCUAAAAUAGUAUCUCUGAGAGUCUACCACAGAAGUAUGUUGAUCAUUUUUCUGGGGCUGCAGAUCAAACAGGAAAAAAUAUAUUAAAUGGACAAACAGAAGGUGUUAGAGAUAAAAAGAUCCCGAAGACAGAGGAUGGCCCUGCAAGAAGCUCACAGUCUACUGAUGGAGACAAGAAUGACUUGGGAGUUGCCCCGCGGCUGUAGGAGCAGUGACUCGCUGUAAUGGAGCUGUUAUGUAGAGAUGCUAAGAUGCAGAGGAAAGUUCUAGAGCAUAUGGGAGAAUGUUUGCUGGAAAAUUACUUGGUUAGAACCUGACAGUCUUACCAGCGUCCUGGGGUUGGUGGAUACCAGUGAGGCUGUGGAUGUCACCGCUGAGCAACUUCGUUUUAAGGUAAGUGAGGGGUCGCUGUCUGUCUACUGAAAAAGGCCAGUUUGCUGUGAUGUUCCCAAGGUAUAAACAUUUCUGACCAGUGCCAGGAGAUUUUCUUGUCUGUUGUAUGAAAAACUGAUCAGGAAAAAAAAUCUU